GAUGAAGAACGUAGCGAAAUGCGAUAAGUAAUGUGAAUUGCAGAAUUCAGUGAAUCAUCGAAUCUUUGAACGCACAUUGCGCCCCCUGGUAUUCCGGGGGGCAUGCCUGUUCGAGCGUCAUUUCACCACUCAAGCCUCGCUUGGUAUUGGGCAACGCGGUCCGCCGCGUGCCUCAAAUCGUCCGGCUGGGUCUUCUGUCCCCUAAGCGUUGUGGAAACUAUUCGCUAAAGGGUGUUCGGGAGGCUACGCCGUAAAACAACCCCAUUUCUAAGGUUGACCUCGGAUCAGGUAGCGAUACCCGCUGAACUUAAGCAUAUCAUAAGCGGAGGA
rnacentral:misc_RNA from 1 species